rnacentral:rRNA from 1 species
UGUUUCGGCUAGGGGGCCAUCCCGGCUUACCAACCCGAUGCAAACUACGAAUACCGAAGAAUGUUAUCACGGGAGACACACGGCGGGUGCUAACGUCCGUCGUGAAGAGGGAAACAACCCAGACCGCCAGCUAAGGUCCCAAAGUCAUGGUUAAGUGGGAAACGAUGUGGGAAGGCACAGACAGCCAGGAUGUUGGCUUAGAAGCAGCCAUCAUUUAAAGAAAGCGUAAUAGCUCACUGGUCGAGUCGGCCUGCGCGGAAGAUGUAACGGGGCUAAACCAUGCACCGAAGCUGCGGCAGCGACGCGUAUGC